AUUGAACGCUGGCGGCAUGCCUUACACAUGCAAGUCGAACGGCAGCACGGAGCUUGCUCUGGUGGCGAGUGGCGAACGGGUGAGUAAUAUAUCGGAACGUACCCUGGAGUGGGGGAUAACGUAGCGAAAGUUACGCUAAUACCGCAUACGAUCUACGGAUGAAAGUGGGGGAUCGCAAGACCUCAUGCUCGUGGAGCGGCCGAUAUCUGAUUAGCUAGUUGGUAGGGUAAAAGCCUACCA
rnacentral:rRNA from 1 species